rnacentral:lncRNA from 1 species
AUGGUUAAUUGUGAAUUUUCUAAGUUAGGUUAGUUAAGUUAGUUAAGGCUAAAAUUAUGAGAAAUGACAUAUUUAUAUAGAAUUGGUAGGUGAAUGAUCACCCUUGAAUUGUGAUUCAAGUAAUUGGUUUAUCAAUGGUUAGAAGUUAAUUUAAUCCUUAGUUCUUGAUCACCAAUUUCAAACAUAUGAUUAAUUGUUAAGAGUGAC